rnacentral:rRNA from 1 species
UACGUAGGGGGCGAGCGUUGUCCGGAGUUACUGGGCGUAAAGCGCACGCAGGCGGUCUGCUAAGUUUGGAGUGACAGUUGGUGGCUUAACUGCCAAAGUGCUUCGAAAACUGACAGACUUGAGGGCUUCAGAGGGACACGGAAUUCCGGGUGGAGUGGUGAAAUGCGUAGAGAUCCGGAGGAACACCAAAGGCGAAGGCAGUGUCCUGGGGAGUACCUGACGCUCAGGUGCGAAAGCCAGGGGAGCGAACGGGAAUUAGAGUACCCCAGU